AGUGAUGAUAGAGGAGCAGGUGUCAAGAGUAGCCUUUUUGAGAGUGUAGUAACUCAGUGAAAGAAGGUGAAAGGGGAAACUGCCGAAGUGAUGAAGGAACUACGACUUCAUUGCUGGUUCUGUAUUGAAUAAAUGCAGAAUUGUCAGAGUGUACACUCUGGAGGGCUAUCUCACAU
rnacentral:ncRNA from 2 species